rnacentral:rRNA from 1 species
GAACGGGUGAGUAAUACAUAGGUAACCUGCCCCUGUGCGGGGGAUAACAGGAGGAAACUCCUGCUAAUACCGCAUAGCCAUGAGCACCGCAUGGAGCUCAUGCCAAAUAUCCUUUCGGGGAUAGCGCAGGGAUGGACCUAUGGCGCAUUAGCUUGUUGGCGGGGCAACGGCCCACCAAGGCAACGAUGCGUAGCCGGCCUGAGAGGGCGGACGGCCACAUUGGGACUGAGACACGGCCCAGACUCCUACGGGAGGCAGCAGUAGGGAAUUUUCGGCAAUGGGGGAAACCCUGACCGAGCAACGCCGCGUGAGCGAAGAAGGCCUUCGGGUCGUAAAGCUCUGUUGUAAAGGAAGAACGGCGCAUACAGGAAAUGGUAUGCGAGUGACGGUACUUUACCAGAAAGCCACGGCUAACUACGUGCCAGCAGCCGCGGUAAUACGUAGGUGGCGAGCGUUAUCCGGAAUCAUUGGGCGUAAAGAGGGAGCAGGCGGCCGCAAGGGUCUGUGGUGAAAGCCCGAAGCUAAACUUCGGUAAGCCAUGGAAACCGGGCGGCUAGAGUGCGGAAGAGGAUCGUGGAAUUCCAUGUGUAGCGGUGAAAUGCGUAGAUAUAUGGAGGAACACCAGUGGCRAAGGCGACGGUCUGGGCCGCAACUGACGCUCAUUCCCGAAAGCGUGGGGAGCAAAUAGGAUUAGAUACCCUAGUAGUCCACGCCGUAAACGAUGGUCACUAAGUGUCGGGGGUCAAACCCCGGUGCUG